rnacentral:rRNA from 1 species
UACGGAGGGAGCUAGCGUUGUUCGGAAUUACUGGGCGUAAAGCGCACGUAGGCGGCUUUGUAAGUUAGAGGUGAAAGCCUGGGGCUCAACCCCCAGAAUUGCCUUUAAGACUGCAUCGCUUGAAUCCAGGAGAGGUGAGUGGAAUUCCGAGUGUAGAGGUGAAAAUUCGUAGAUAUUCGGAAGAACACCAGUGGCGAAGGCGGCUCACUGGAGCUGGUAUUGACGCUGAGGUGCGAAAGCGUGGGGAGCAAACAG